UACGAAGGGGGCUAGCGUUGUUCGGAAUUACUGGGCGUAAAGGGCGCGUAGGCGGUGUGUCAAGUCAGGCGUGAAAGCCCCGGGCUCAACCUGGGAACCGCGCUUGAGACUGGCACGCUCGAGUUCGGGAGAGGAUGGUGGAAUUCCCAGUGUAGAGGUGAAAUUCGUAGAUAUUGGGAAGAACACCGAUGGCGAAGGCAGCCAUCUGGACCGAGACUGACGCUGAGGCGCGAAAGCGUGGGGAGCAAACAGG
rnacentral:rRNA from 1 species